rnacentral:lncRNA from 1 species
CCAGACCGCUCGGAUGCACUUCUUUUCCCGAGUGUAAUGGUUGCUCGGGCGUCGGGAAGUUGUUCCAGAAGGAGCUCUGCAGAUGCAUUACCGGCUAACUAUCGAUUGAGAAAUCGAAGGCAUAUGCAAUAUCAGAAGAUAAGACAGAUCGGAUCGUAGUAGCUUCUGCUAUUAUAGAAUCGGUUGAAAGAAUUGACACGAAUGCCGGAAACUGAGUUCCACUUUCUUUUUAGCUCUUUCUUUGUCUUCUUAUUACACUUGUACCUCUUAAACUCCUCUAUUGGUUUCCUUAAGAGUCUUUGAAUGCACGAGACAACCCUUCUUGUCUUGUUCAGGAAAGAAGAAAUGGAAGAAGGAAAGAUGAUCUUUCUCUAAACUGUGAUUAACAUAAGAUCAUCGGUUCAUGAACAGUAGAAGAAUAACUAUGGCAGAGAAAUUUUUUUAUCUGAUCGGAUAAAACUAAUUAGUCUUUAACCAUAUAUUGGAUCGGAGAAGUUACAACUUUCCUAAUAUGUAAUUUUACAAUACCUGGAAGCAGGUAAUCUUCUUCUUCUCUUAAGGCAUACUAUUUAUGCGCCACAGAGAGUGUGAUAAAGAAGACCAAGGGUGAAAGCUAUGAAUGUAGAGGAAGGAGGCUUUGGGAAAGCUCCCAUAAAAGGAAAAGAGUGAAUCUGAACUUACUAUUCAGGUACUAAGAGCAUCUUUGAGCUUCUUUCCCU